UUAAAUGAAGCUUCGUCUGGGCACUGGUUUAGUAGUGUUAUCUUGGAUGUUUUGUUUUGAUUAGCAAUUGUUUGGACUGAACUGACUGAUUUCAACAAAAGCAGUAUUCAUUAACUCGUCAUACUUAUGCUUUAUCGUAGCCUUUGAUGCUUUCCAUUAUGUCAAUGACCUUAGCGUGAAUAGCUGGGAUGUAGCUCUUUUUGAAUCACUAGGUUAGCACCGAUCUUAUGAGACUUGCAAAUAACAUGCAAUUUGCUAUCGAGCUAUCAAAGCUCUUGGCAUAGUAGUGCCAUCUGGUCCAGUGCUUAACUUACUUGGACUCUAACCUGAUCUCGAUGUAUACUAUUACAGGAUGAAUCAAUCACUAGUUUAGAACUCAGAAGCAACUCACCCUUAUGAUGUCAUAGGAAGAUAGCAUUCACCCAAUUUACUAAAGACUCACAACAUGACCUCUUGAAGUUAUGCACUUCCACAAUUGAAAGAGUUCUGUUGUAUUGGUAACAACACUGUGUAUACCUAAUAAAUCCCAGAACCCCUUUCAUGCCGUUAAUUGACAGAAGGACAGAAAGAGGUAAAGCGCAACCUCAUUGCAUUGCAUGUCACAAUAUGACAACUAUUGAGACGACAAUAAUACCACAGGCUUUCCCGAAACAUUCUCUCUGCUAGCACAAACCCAACAAUAUUAUCCCGAAACUUCUAUUUGUAUUGGUAACAACACCGAUAUAUACGCUAUUAAUUCCCAGAACCCUCUUUCAUGUCGUUAAUUGAAACCAAUAAUUGGUCCGACAGAAGGAGGUAAAGCUCAACCUCAUCGCAUACCAUGUCACAAUAUGACAACUAUUGAGACUGCAAUAGUACCACAAGCACAAAGAAUGAUUUCGAAGAGUCUGAUGAAUCGUACAGUUUAUGUUCCGACAAGACUAGAAGUGUUUUUAGCACCUCUAUAUACCCGAAUUGAGGAAUCAUCAAAGUGAAGUCUGAUCCCUAAGCUAUUACUACAUGAGCUUCUCGAAAAGGCUAUUCCUAUAUAUUGUACAAGUGACCUACCUAUACCUACCAACCUCAUCGCAUACCAUGUCACAAUAUGACAACUAUUGAGACGGCAAUAGUAUCACAAGCACAAAGAAUGAUUCGAAGAGUCUGAUGAAUCGUACAGUUUAUGUUCCGACAAGACUAGAAGUGUUUUUAGCACCUCUAUAUACCCGAAUUGAGGAAUCAUCAAAGUGAAGUCUGAUCCCUAAGCUAUUACUACAUGAGCUUCUCGAAAAGGCUAUUCCUAUAUAUUGUACAAGUGACCUACGAUCUGCGAGUAUUUGUAGAUUUCUUUCAACAUGUCUAAAGGUGACAGUAUAUCAUAGGAAACCAUUUUUUAUACUAUUUGGAUCCUUCGAAAUAUAAGUCUUGAAAAUCAAAGAACCUCUUAUUUUAUAUAAUUAUUUCUAUUUUGAUAUAUAACAU